rnacentral:rRNA from 1 species
UACGUAGGGUGCAAGCGUUGUCCGGAAUUAUUGGGCGUAAAGAGCUUGUAGGCGGUUUGUCGCGUCUGCUGUGAAAUUUCGGGGCUCAACCCCGAACUUGCAGUGGGUACGGGCAGACUAGAGUGUGUAGGGGAGACUGGAAUUCCUGGUGUAGCGGUGAAAUGCGCAGAUAUCAGGAGGAACACCGAUGGCGAAGGCAGGUCUCUGGGCCAUAACUGACGCUGAGAAGCGAAAGCAUGGGGAGCGAACAGG